CUUGUUGUCUCGUUCAAGAUCUUCUUGCUGCUAAUGCUUCGGACUGUGCCAGACUCUGUUCAAACUGAGUAUUUAAGAGUAGUUAACUUCGAGCUUACUGUCCAUGACUGAGAGUAUAGUUGUGGGAUUCGUUGGCCAAGUUUUUGGUCGAUGGAGGAAGAACCAGAAGACAGGAAAAGUCAAACUGGGAGAAAACCAAAGAAAAGAACAGAAGAAAACAUUCAGAACCAUCAAAGGUGAAGCUCCAGCUGUUUCCAGAAGAUGAAGGCAGCAUGAACAUCUGCAAG